rnacentral:lncRNA from 1 species
UCAUACGGGCAUGGAACAACUGCUUCGAUAUCUCAUAUCGAGCAAUUCGACUUUGUUCCCCAUAUAGCUCCUUAAGAUUAAGGAGAAUAGAGAGAACGUCCAUGUCCUCAUGCUGCCUCUGGAGCUCAUUGCUCAUGGAGGCAAGCAUGAAAUAUUUGACAGUCACACUAUCAUCUUUUCACAUCUUAUAUGCAGUCCUAUCCUUCUCAGAAGCAUCUUCCCUAAG